GCGAGCGUUACCCGGAUUUACUGGGCGUAAAGGGCGUGUAGGCGGUCUUUCAAGUCCGAUGCUAAAGACUGGGGCUCAACCCCAGGGGUGCGUUGGAUACUGUGAGGCUAGACGGUCGGAGGGGGUAGCGGAAUUUCCGGAGUAGCGGUGAAAUGCGCAGAUACCGGAAGGAACGCCAAUAGCGAAGGCAGCUACCUGGACGACUUGUGACGCUGAGGCGCGAAAGCGUGGGGAGCAAACGGGAUUAGAUACCCGGGUAGUCCACGCCCUAAACCAUGAGUGCUGGGUGUCCGGCUUCUGCUGGGUGCCGUAGCUAACGCGCUAAGCACUCCGCCUGGGAAGUACGCACGCAAGUGUGAAACUCAAAGGAAUUGACGGGGGCCCGCACAAGCGGUGGAGCAUGUGGUUUAAUUCGAAGCGACGCGAAGAACCUUACCAGGCCUUGACAUGCCCGGAACCCCUCUGAAAGGAGGGGGUGCCCGCAAGGGAGCCGGGACACAGGUGCUGCAUGGCCGUCGUCAGCUCGUGUCGUGAGAUGUUGGGUUAAGUCCCGCAACGAGCGCAACCCCUAUCCCUAGUUGCCAGCAGUUCGGCUGGGCACUCUAUGGAGACUGCCUGCGAAAGCAGGAGGAAGGCGGGGAUGACGUCUGGUCCGCAUGGCCCUUACGGCCUGGCCGACACACGUGCUACAAUGCCAAGGACAGAGCGCUGCUACCUCGCGAGAGGACGCCAAUCGCAAAAACCUUGGCUCAGUUCGGAUUGGAGUCUGCAACUCGACUCCAUGAAGCCGGAAUCGCUA
rnacentral:rRNA from 1 species